rnacentral:rRNA from 1 species
UGCGUAAUCGCAUGCUCCGGCCGCCAUGGCGGCCGCGGGAAUUCGAUUAACAAGGUAACCGUAAGUCGUAACGGGGUACCGUAGAGUUUGAUCCUGGCUCAGACUCUAAGUCGUAACAAGGUAACCGUAAGUCGUAACAAGGUAACCGUAAGUCGUAACAAGGUAACCGUAGAGUUUGAUCCUGGCUCAGAAGUCGUAACAAGGUAACCGUAUGUCGUAACGGGGUACCGUAGAGUUUGAUCCUGGCUCAGAUUGAACGCUGGCGGCAGGCCUAACACAUGCAAGUCGUAACAAGGUAACCGUAUGUCGUAACGGGGUACCGUAGAGUUUGAUCCUGGCUCAGAUUGAACGCUGGCGG